GAUGAACGCUGGCGGCGUGCCUAAUACAUGCAAGUCGAGCGAACGGACGAGAAGCUUGCUUCUCUGAUGUUAGCGGCGGACGGGUGAGUAACACGUGGAUAACCUACCUAUAAGACUGGGAUAACUUCGGGAAACCGGAGCUAAUACCGGAUGAUAUUUUGAACCGCAUGGUUCAAAAGUGAAAGACGGUCUUGCUGUCACUUAUAGAUGGAUCCGCGCUGCAUUAGCUAGUUGGUAAGGUAACGGCUUACCAAGGCAACGAUGCAUAGCCGACCUGAGAGGGGGAUAGGCCACCCGGGAACGGAGACACGGUCCAGACUCCGACGGGAGGCAGCAGUAGGGAAUCUUCCGCAAUGGGCGAAAGCCUGACGGAGCAACGCCGCGUGAGUGAUGAAGGUCUUCGGAUCGUAAAACUCUGUUAUUAGGGAAGAACAUAUGUGUAAGUAACUGUGCACAUCUUGACGGUACCUAAUCAGAAAGCCACGGCUAACUACGUG
rnacentral:rRNA from 1 species